AACGAACGCUGGCGGCAUGCCUAACACAUGCAAGUCGAACGAGACCUUCGGGUCUAGUGGCGCACGGGUGCGUAACGCGUGGGAACCUGCCCUUAGGUUCGGCAUAACUCCCCGAAAGGGGUGCUAAUACCGGAUAAUUUCUUCGGACCAAUGAUUUAUCGCCUUUGGAUGGGCCCGCGUUGAAUUAGCUAGUUGGUAGGGUAAAAGCCUACCAAGGCGACGAUUAAUAGCUGGUCUGAGAGGAUGAUCAGCCACACUGGGACUGAGACACGGCCCAGACUCCUACGGGAGGCAGCAGUGGGGGAUAUUGGACAAUGGGCGAAAGCCUGAUCCAGCAAUGCCGCGUGAAUGAUGAAGGCCUUAGGGUUGUAAAGCUCUUUUACCCGGGAUGAUAAUGACAGUACCGGGAGAAUAAGCUCCGGCUAACUCCGUG
rnacentral:rRNA from 1 species